GUGAGCAACCACUUUUCUUCAAAAUUUAUGAUCAAAAUCAUAAUCGUCUAAAUCUUUAUUUGCACUUUUAAUCAUUAGAAUAGAGACUUUCAUUCCUGGAGAAAUUUAUAUCUAUUUAGUUACCAGUCCUAAAGAUAUUGGAUUAGUAGAAACAGCUAAAAUAUUUUGGUUCAGAUCUGUAUAUAAAGUGCCAGACACAAAGGAACCUAAACUCUUCGUAGAAGCCAUUCAAGUCAAACCUAUGACAACACUCGAAAAGGAUGGAUAUCGCCAAAUAUCAACGUUGUGCGGAAGUGAAGGAGCAGUGCCAAAUUUAGAUGUGGUUUUGUACAAAUGCUCUCUCUCUCUCUCUUUACCAUCUAGUGAUCCUUUACCGAAACGAGAUAAAUAUUUCGGUGGAAGAAUUAAAAAUAAUCCAAAAGAUGGUAUCGGAACACCCACCAAUGAAAAUGUUUACGACUAUAGAUAUUUUGUAGAGCAUAUCACGAAGAAUCAAAAAUAAUUUAAUUCACUAUUCUUCUAUUUAUAAUUGGCAUUUGUAUUAUAGUUUUGUUGUAUUCAUUAUUUUUCUAUUUAAUAAACAACAUAUUAUUAUAAAAGUUACAUAUUCUUCCAUAUAGAUACACAUCACAAACAAAUAAAUUUUGACAGAUGGGUU
rnacentral:lncRNA from 1 species